rnacentral:rRNA from 1 species
CGUAGGGUGCAAGCGUUAAUCGGAAUUACUGGGCGUAAAGCGUGCGCAGGCGGCUUUGCAAGACAGGUGUGAAAUCCCCGGGCUCAACCUGGGAACUGCACUUGUGACUGCAUGGCUGGAGUACGGCAGAGGGGAUGGAAUUCCGCGUGUAGCAGUGAAAUGCGUAGAUAUGCGGAGGAACACCAAUGGCGAAGGCAAUCCCCUGGGCCUGUACUGACGCUCAUGCACGAAAGCGUGGGAGCAAACAGGAUU